UAUAUACUCCCUCCGUUCCAAAUUACUUGUCGCAGAAAUGGAUGUAUCUAGAACUAAAAAAUGUCUAGAUAUAUCUAUUUUUAUGACAAGUAAUUCCGAACGGAGGGAGUAGUAU
rnacentral:pre_miRNA from 1 species